CGAUUCCAAGCAGUACACUCCCCCUCCUCCUCCACCCCUCCGCACUCCUCAUUGACGUUUUCUUGCCCCUCCGUACCGCCGUCAGAGGCGUCGAGGGCUGGAGGUGGCGGCGCACAGAUACGGGAGCGUGUAUCUCUUCUAAGAGCCCCCUGUCGGGCACCUCCAACCGACGCCAUCAGGUUGAACCGUUUAGCUGGAAUAUAUACUUACAUAUAUACAUGUGGAAGAAGGAAAAGGCAGCGCCGUGGCACAGUGGAGCUUUGUGAUGAUGGUCCGAAGAAGACAUGUGGCGCAGCCGCGCCGCGGCUGGCUGGGCAUUCUUCUUAUUUUCUCCAUCCUACUCGUGUCAGCGGAGGGGGUACGCUUGGAGACGGGAACCUUCUUAAUGGACGAAGAUGUCGAGUGGCCGUGGCUGCCGCAGCUCGACUUACCACUGCCACCUGACUUCAUGUCUGGGCAGCGCAUCCUCAGCACGCCUGAGCAAUGGAUGGUGCUCGCUCACGUGGGAGCUCCGUUCCGCGUUGUCACGGACACCAAAAUGGAUCUUAUGCGCCUCUUGGAGGUCGUUAAGUUCAUGCUCCCCGCCGACGCUGGCGUCUGCCCGCGCUACAGUACAACGCGCCGCAUCGUGCACUACUGGUUUCACCCAGAGCAGUUGAGCCUGCUCUUUGGUGAGGAGCGCUGGUCCGCCCUGCAGCGGUUACAGCGACCAGCCGCCUGGUCUCUGGUGCUCAAGGACGAUGCAGGCCCUGCUGUCCGGGCAGCAGAGCGUUUCAUUGCCAAGCUGCAGGCUCUGGACCCACCGGGGCAGAUCACUCUCAUUUCCCGCCGCCAGAGCUCGAGUUUGAGGACGACGCGUGUCUCACUUGCCGACUUCAAGGUGCUGAGCCGCCUCACUCGCAUGACCAACACUAUCGAGUAUCGGCUAACGCACCUGACGGUGGAUGCCGAGGCGCCGCUGCACCGCAUGCAAAUACAGCGUCUGCUGCGUGCAAAACUGCGGUAUCACGAGCAUAUCAAGGCCUUUGACGAGGCCGUCGCGGAGGCUCAGCGCGAUCUGCACGUGAGUCUGCAAGAACUACUGAAAAGCGAGCAGGCGGCGUAUGCAGAUCACGUGCACUUCAAGCGGAGCUACCAGCGCUUUCUUGUGGAGCGCCAAUCGCGCCUCCGAGCAGAGAAAGGGGUGAAGGAUGCCGCCGACGGAUCCGAUGGGGAGUCGUCUAUGGGUCGCGACGCCGGAUCGCGCCGGACUGCAGCAACGAGCAUUCAUCGUGCCGCGGGUACUUCCCUCCCAUCACCGCUUGAUGGCAGCCGAGAUGUGUCGUGCAGGAAGGUGCUCGCUGCCUGGAGCACGCUCCGCGCAGCCGGCGUCUGUCACGAAGCGGAAAUACGUGUGGCGCAGCUGCGUCGUCUCCAUUCUCGGCAUCGGUGCAAGGAGCCUCUGCCGGAGCUGCUGGUGGCCUCCUCUACUGUCCGCGGAGAGGCGGGCCUGAGCCCGGCGGCCGCGCACGUAUGGCGUGACGGUGUUGCAGAAAUGAAGGCGCAGCGGCGCAAGUCAGGUGCGUCACCGACGCCUGCGCAGGUGUUCGCCAUCCUCUACGGUGUCUGGGAGGAAGCGAAGGCGGCCACACAAGCGGCUGGUCACGCCCGAGAAGCGACAUCUGCAGCCGGCGUGGUGACAACUGCGGUGGCGGUGAAUGAGGCCUUCAAUGCGUCCGCCUUCGCCGCAUUUGUGGAGCACCUAGUGCAAAGCGGCGACGCGCUCAGCGCCGCGCCCAACAGCCGCCUGCCACGAUGGAUACGCGCGGAGCUCCACUACACGUUGGCCCUUUUACAGCUCAUAAGGCCGAAAACCCGGCCUUCGGAGAAGCAUCCUGCCACGGUGUCCUCGAGUGUGCGCGCUGUGGUGCACUUGCACGAGUCGUUGAGUGCCGGGUCCCACCACGCUGCCGGCGCCUUGGCGACGCUCCGGGAACACGGUAUAUUUGCCAGGCAGCAGAGUAAGGCGGCCAUGAUGCUGCUGCUACAAUCAAUGGAACAAGCACCGACGCACCUGUGGCGCGAGCUGCUUCUGCGCCGCUCUCCUUGUCGUUCUCACGAAGCAGCGAGGGCAGCAUCAGCGAGAGCUGACCCGUCGCGACUCCUCCGCUUCGAGCAGUUCUACGCCGUGGACCACACCUUCAGCGAGGUGGAUGACCCUUUCAUGACCCGCCAGAGCAUCGCGACACUCAUCGCCGUGACAAGCGAGAACAUCCACACCGGCGACGAGGAGCCGGAGAUGGAGGACGUCUACCGCGAGGCGGAGGUCGGACGCGGCGACGACGAAUACGAGGGGCGUUUGACGGCGCGGCUAAAUCGACGCCUUCUGAAGGCGAGCAUGCUGUUCUCCGGAUUCAAGGGGGUGCAGCGAGACGCGCGAGAGGCACAGUGCGAGCUCCUCGUCAUCCUGCGUCGUCUCGGCUACGUCUGCGAUCUUGAUCUUCGUCGCUUCUAUACUAGUGGCGUGCCGUCACAUGUGCCCGAUUCGCCGCCUGCUUCCUCGGCGGCGCCAAUGACCAUCAUCGGCGUUCCUCUGCCGGACUCCUGUGCCGAACAUGAGACUGAGCUGGUCGACGUCAUGAGCAACAGCCGGCACACGCUUUUGAGUUGCCCGAACGGAGUUCCUUUUCCACCACGGCGAUCUCGGCGUCAGCUCGACGUGCCCAACUCGGAAGCUCUGUUUGAGUUGCUCCUGCAGACGCUGCUGGCCCUCAGUUACGUGCAACUCAUCCACAGACAUCGGUACGAUAUGAGCCACCUGUACGCCUCUCUCGCCCUCGAGAUGUCCCUGCGCGUGCCACGUGCGACAGUGGAACGCUGUGCUCAAGCAGCAAACAUGAGUGCCUUCGUUGAGGCGCACCACCACCCGGGCGACAGCAACGGAUCGUGGGCCCGCUCGUUUCUGGAGGCGGUGAACCGCGUCGCAGACAGCGACAGCGAAGUUGCGUGGGCUGCCGAGGUACUGCUGGAUCAGCUGCAGAGCAUCAAAAAUGCGCCGUCGCAGGCGCGCGGCGACGGCGCAGCAUUGGGGCACAGAGUUCAGCGGGUGCUUCGUCGCUUUGCGAGCGUGGCGGACUCUCCGUUCGUCUCGACCGAAUCCCUGCUCCUCAUAGGGACGAGCCGAUGGGCGGCGAGGGGCCCAUUGUCCGGUGCGGCGGCAGAGGUGGCGGCGUUCGAGAAGGACUUGGCCGAAUGGACAAUGGAACCAUUCAGUCUGUUUCAUCGACUCCUGCAGAAGCGUCCGAGGAGCUCCAGUGCGGCGGCGACGCAACAGACACCGCACCCAUCUCACAGUGGCGCAGCGCCGGGGUCUUCAAUGGGCGUGAGUCUAAGCACCACGGUCAUGGAUGUCCACGCCCUCUUUCUGGUCUGCUUGGCAGCGAUGAAGCGAUGGAGGAGCGACUUCCCUCUUGUACACACGCUGGACGCGACGACCUACUCGGCUCGACGCACCGAUCCGUUUGUGCUAAGCUCCUUUCUCCUGCGAGCGCGCGACACCGCCACCGGCGCACCCCUCAUUUCCAUCGAGAAGCUGCGCGACGUCGCGUAUGCCGCCUCCCCGCACUUUCUGGGGGAAAGUCCGCAAUUGCUGCCGCUCGUUGACGACACGGUCGACUCGUAUGCGGCGCGGCUGCUGCGCUUCGCUGCCCGGCACAUUCACGCCCUAGAGCCGUGCGUCGAACUGCUCCGAAGCGGUGGCUACGGCGUUCGUCGCACCGACGCCGGCGGGGCCGCCUCAGCUGGGAUGAGGAUGAGUGGCCACUGGGGCAGCUCUCUUGAUGAUGGCCCACCGCGAAAGUCGCGCCUGCAAACCUUGCGUAAAGUAAAACAGCACACGAUGGAGAACGCGGAUCUGCAGCCGCUGCUCUACGCCGCGGACGUGCACGAUUACAUGAACAAGUCGCGCUGGACAAGCGUUGCGACGGUGCUGAGCGCCGUGUACAAAACUGUUCUAUACCCCUUCACGACGACUGCGGCAGAGGCGCUGAUUGCGGACAUGGAGGCGCAAAUGCAGCUCGUGACACCAGAGGAGCACGGCGCUGAGCUCAGCAGCCGACGUAAAGCGGGCACGGAAGAGUCGCCAUCGCAGGAGACGGCGAAGGGGACCGCAAGGUCGGCAGGGACGGGGGUCUCCGCGUUCGUGGACGCCUUCGCGAAGGACGCCGCGCUGCGCGAGUUCUUCAUUGCCGGGCAGCUGCUCACCGUCGCGUUGGAGUCUGGCAUGCCGGAGGGAUUCUCGCUUGUUCUCCUUGAAGCCGCGGACCGCGGCAACCGAUAUCUCCGCCCCAUCGCAGAGCACUUGGCGGAGUCUGUGUUUGGCCGCAUGGCGCCGAGCGUGUGGACGGAGCACCAUCUCACCGCGCAGUGGCAGCGGGAGGAGGAGGAGCUUGUGGGUGAGGGCCCACUCUUUGUGCUGGACACGCGCACACCCUUUCGCUACGCGUCUGUCGAAGCUCGCCAGGAGCUCUUUGCGCGUGUGAGUCGGUGGAAUGCAGCGAAGGCGCAGCAGGGCGACAUUGGCGAAGUCUAUGGGGCGAGAGAGCGUCAGAGGACUCGAGUGUCGCAGGCGCUCGACCAGUUGCUGUGGUGCGCCGGUUUCCUCACGCGGCGUGUCUACAGAGACACCCAUCGCGUGUACCCGUAUGCCUACGAGGGGUCUGUUUUUCCCGCAUCUGAUCUGGAGUGCGUCGCGGACAUGAAUCGUCUGUUAAGGUCUCAGAGACCUGCCGCCGAAACGGCGGCAUCGGUGGUGACGGAAAGGGAGCCGGCGUGGACUUUGGCCGAGUGGCGACACGCACAGAAAAACGGCACGGCUCUUCUCCGCGACUUGAGCGAGCGGUUGGGCUACGUCUACGACACUGUCGAGGGGGCGCCGGCGCGCCGUUUUCCGCUUUCCGCGGCAGACUUCAGCCGAAAUGUGACGGUGGAGGAGCACGCUCUGCUCUUGGCAGAGCGGAACCAGGACUACCCCUCUCGCUUUGCGCGUGUGUCGACGCAGUUGGUGGAGCCGUGGAACCGCCUGUCGAAGGACUACAGCGAGCAAGUCGUGGCGUACGGGGAAGGCUUCUACUACAACCAGCGCUUGCACCGCAUCAGCGGGUACCGCUGGGGUGCUAUCCUGCACAUAUGGUGGCUGCGUGUGCGCAACAUGUGGCCAUGGUAGUCGAAUUCGCCGAGAGUGGCGAGGAUACGGAGGAGAGAAUGUGGUGCGCAUCCCGGCUAGGACUGAGUGGCAGUGAUGUCUUGCUCUGCUCACGAAGGCUAUCAACACAACGACAAGCAAAACAACGCCAUCAGAUACUGGAUUUUUUGCCCCUAUCGGUCUCUUACAGAGAAGCACACCAUGGUGUGAGGUACGUGUUCGCCAGCUCACCGUUCGCUCGGCCUGACUCGAACACGGAUAUCCCCCAUGGACACAGCCACGCGCGCUUGCCUACCGUGUGGGGACAAUGGCGAGAGAAACAAGGGGACAGUCGUGCACAACAUGUCGAUCCUCUCCCCCCUCCCCCACCUUUGCAACAAUGUUACUUCAACC
rnacentral:misc_RNA from 1 species